rnacentral:rRNA from 1 species
AAAUCCUCAGGGAAUUGUAAUUUGAAGGUGGUCUCAGUUAGUUCAAACAUUCUUAAGUCCAUUGGAAAAUGGCGCCAUGGAGGGUGAUAGCCCCGUAAAGAAUCCGUUUGCUCUAUUUUCUUUGACCACCAAAGAGUCGAGUUGUUUGGGAAUGCAGCUCUAAGUGGGUGGUAAAUUCCAUCUAAAGCUAAAUAUUGGCGAGAGACCGAUAGCGAACAAGUACAGUGAUGGAAAGAUGAAAAGCACUUUGAAAAGAGAGUGAAAAAGUACGUGAAAUUGUUGAAAGGGAAGGGCUUGCAAGCAGACACAACCUUUUGGUUGGGCCAGCAUCGGGGCGAGGGGAAGGAAAAAAGAUAAGGAAAUGUAGCUCUCGAGUAUUAUAGACCUUUUCCACAACUUCCAUCU